rnacentral:lncRNA from 1 species
CAAAAGUUCCUCACCAGAUGCCAGCCCCUUUGUCUAGGACUCCCCAGUCUCAAAAACAUGAGAAGUUAAUUUCUAUUGCUUAAAAAGUAUUCAGUGUAUGGUGUUUUGUUAUCUCUUCACAAAAUGUACUAAGACGCAUCUCCUGCCAAAAGAAUGGAAGCUCAAAGAGAAUGGAAAAUGAUUCCCCCCUGAAAGCCACUGCUUGAGGUCACAGAUAUCCAGUCAUCUGCUCCUAGAAAAUAGAUCCAAUGCCACAAUGAAUAAGAAAGAGUUUGCUUAAGAUUUGUGGGAAAGCAGGAAAGAAGUAAAAUCACACAGCACUCAGGAACUUGAAAAUAUUUUGAAAGGAUCUUCUUUUCUCCCAGAGUUCCUCUCCCCAACCAAUUGCCUCUUUUGCACAGCUUAAUAAAUAUCCCUUCUAAAAAUCAUUUCAGAACCUUGCUUUGCAUUUGCCAUCCAGUAACA